rnacentral:rRNA from 1 species
AUUGAACGCUGGCGGCAGGCCUAACACAUGCAAGUCGAACGAGUGGCGGACGGGUGAGUAAUGUCUGGGAAACUGCCUGAUGGAGGGGGAUAACUACUGGAAACGGUAGCUAAUACCGCAUACCAUCAGAUGUGCCCAGAUGGGAUUAGCUAGUAGGUGGGGUAAUGGCUAACCUAGGCGACGAUCCCUAGCUGGUCUGAGAGGAUGACCAGCCACACUGGAACUGAGACACGGGCCAGGCUCCGACGGGAGGCAGCAGGGGGGAAUAUUGGACAAUGGGCGCAAGCCGGAUGCCGCCAUGCCUCGGGUGUGAAGAAGGCCUUCGGGUUGUAAAGCACUUUCAGCGAGGAGGCGUUACUCGCAGAAGAAGCACCGGCUAACUCCGUGCCAGCAGCCGCGGUAAUUC